rnacentral:rRNA from 1 species
UAGAGGACAGACGGGGGCAUUUGUAGGGCGGUGUUAGAGGUGAAAUUCUUGGAUCGCCGCCAGACAAACUACAGCGAAAGCAUUUGCCAAGGAUGUUUUCAUUGAUCUGGAGCGAAAGUCAGAGGUUCGAAGACGAUCAGAUACCGUCCUAGUUCUGACCAUAAACGAUGCCAACUGACGAUCCGUGGAGAUUCUAUUAAUGACCCCGCGGGCAGUCCCCGGAAAACCUUUAAGUGUUUGGGCUCCGGGGGAAGUAUGGUUGCAAAGCUGAAACUUAAAGGAAUUGACGGAAGGGCACCACCAGGAGUGGAGCCUGCGGCUUAAUUCGACUCAACACGGGAAAACUUACCCGGUCCGGACACUGUGAGGAUUGACAGAUUGAUAGCUCUUUCUUGAUUCGGUGGUUGGUGGUGCAUGGCCGUUCUUAGUUGGUGGAGCGAUUUGUCUGGUUAAUUCCGAUAACGAACGAGACUUUGACCUACUAAAUAGUAUGCCUGUCCUCUGUGCUUGUACAGGUUGCGGUAUGUGUUGCCUCGUUAGGGGUGACUGUAUCGGUUUCCGGCGAGUACGGCGCGGGUGCUUACUUCUUAGAGGAACAAGCGGCGCAAGCUGCACGAGAUUGAGCAAUAACAGGUCUGUGAUGCCCUUAGAUGUCCGGGGCCGCACGUGCGCUACAAUGACGAUCUCAGCGAGUUUGGAAUCCUGACCCGAAAGGGUUGGGCAAACUGUACCAUGACCGUCGUGACUGGGAUCGGGGUUUGCAAUUGUCUCCCGUGAACGAGGAAUUCCUGGUAAGUGCAAGUCAUUAGCUUGCGCUGAUUACGUCCCUGCCCUUUGUACACACCGCCCGUCGCUACUACCGAUUGAAUGGUUUAGCAAGGUCAUUGGAUUGGUGCCAUUGCCAGUGGCUUCGGCUGCUCGACCGGUGCUGAGAAGACGACCGAAC